UUGUAUAUUAGGGUUUGCGAUAUAGCAUAUGCAAGAUUAAACAUGGGGGUUGCUAGCCGGAACAGUGCUAUUUGGUGAAAAAGUAACAUUGAUCGCACAGGACAGGACACCCUGAAUUACGAUCAUAUCUCUGACAGAGAUGGGAUCGUCAAGUGAAAUUACAAUGCCAUUGAGGGAGCUGCCGCCAUGAUUGCAGAAAUGGCGACAAUGAGGCCAAGGAAGAGCGUGCUGUUGCGGGAAGCCAUGGAACCUUGGCUAGCUUUUAUGUAAUUAUAAGAACUUAUUGAUGACGAGAAAGAAGCUUAUGUGUUUUGAUGACAACUGGGGAAC
rnacentral:lncRNA from 1 species